rnacentral:rRNA from 1 species
GCUGGCUCUUCNGAGUAUGUGCUCGCCUGACUACGUUUUUAACCACCUGUGCACUUAUUGUAGACCUGGAUACCUCUCGAGGCAACUCGGUUAUGAGGAUUGCUGUACCUUGCAGCUUUCUUUACAUUUCCGGUCUAUGUUUUAUACAUACCCCUAAUGAAUGUUUAGAAUGUUUUAUUUAUGGGGCUUUAUUGCCUUUAAAAUCUAUACAACUUUCAACAACGGAUCUCUUGGCUCUCGCAUCGAUGAAGAACGCAGCGAAAUGCGAUAAGUAAUGUGAAUUGCAGAAUUCAGUGAAUCAUCGAAUCUUUGAACGCACCUUGCGCUCCUUGGUAUUCCGAGGAGCAUGCCUGUUUGAGUGUCAUGAAAUUCUCAACCUCCUCAGAUUUUUCUGAUGAAGGCUUGGAUUGUGGGGGUUUGCGGGCUUUCCCAAGAAGUCGGCUCUCCUUAAAUGCAUUAGCAGAACCUUUGUGGACCAGCUUUGGUGUGAUAAUUAUCUACGCUAACAGCUGUAAAGCAAAAAUUAUAUAGGGUUCAGCUCUCUAAUUGUCCUUUGCUGGACAAACUAUUUGACAAUUUGACCUCAAAUCAGGUAGGACUACCCGCUGAACUUAAGCAUAUC